rnacentral:rRNA from 1 species
GAUGAACGCUGGCGGCGUGCCUAAUACAUGCAAGUCGAGCGAACAGAUGAGGAGCUUGCUCCUCUGACGUUAGCGGCGGACGGGUGAGUAACACGUGGAUAACCUACCUAUAAGACUGGGAUAACUUCGGGAAACCGGAGCUAAUACCGGAUAAUAUAUUGAACCGCAUGGUUCAAUAGUGAAAGACGGUUUUGCUGUCACUUAUAGAUGGAUCCGCGCCGCAUUAGCUAGUUGGUAAGGUAACGGCUUACCAAGGCAACGAUGCGUAGCCGACCUGAGAGGGUGAUCGGCCACACUGGAACUGAGACACGGUCCAGACUCCUACGGGAGGCAGCAGUAGGGAAUCUUCCGCAAUGGGCGAAAGCUUGACGGAGCAACGCCGCGUGAGUGAUGAAGGUCUUCGGAUCGUAAAACUCUGUUAUUAGGGAAGAACAAAUGUGUAAGUAACUAUGCACGUCUUGACGGUACCUAAGCAGAAAACCACGGCUAACUACGU